rnacentral:rRNA from 1 species
GACGAACGCUGGCGGCGUGCCUAAUACAUGCAAGUAGAACGCUGAAGAGAGGAGCUUGCUCUUCUUGGAUGAGUUGCGAACGGGUGAGUAACGCGUAGGUAACCUGCCUUGUAGCGGGGGAUAACUAUUGGAAACGAUAGCUAAUACCGCAUAACAAUGGAUGACACAUGUCAUUUAUUUGGAAGGGGCAAUUGCUCCACUACAAGAUGGACCUGCGUUGUAUUAGCUAGUAGGUGAGGUAAUGGCUCACCUAGGCGACGAUACAUAGCCGACCUGAGAGGGUGAUCGGCCACACUGGGACUGAGACACGGCCCAGACUCCUACGGGAGGCAGCAGUAGGGAAUCUUCGGCAAUGGGGGCAACCCUGACCGAGCAACGCCGCGUGAGUGAAGAAGGUUUUCGGAUCGUAAAGCUCUGUUGUAAGUCAAGAACGGGUGUGAGAGUGGAAAGUUCACACUGUGACGGUAGCUUACCAGAAAGGGACGGCUAACUACGUG